rnacentral:rRNA from 1 species
CGGACGGGUGAGUAACACGUGGAUAACCUACCUAUAAGACUGGGAUAACUUCGGGAAACCGGAGCUAAUACCGGAUAAUAUAUUGAACCGCAUGGUUCAAUAGUGAAAGACGGUUUUGCUGUCACUUAUAGAUGGAUCAGCGCCGCAUUAGCUAGUUGGUAAGGUAACGGCUUACCAAGGCAACGAUGCGUAGCCGACCUGAGAGGGUGAUCGGCCACACUGGAACUGAGACACGGUCCAGACUCCUACGGGAGGCAGCAGCC